CGCGUAGGCGGCCAAUUAAGUCAAAUGUGAAAUCCCCGAGCUUAACUUGGGAAUUGCAUUCGAUACUGGUUGGCUAGAGUGUGGGAGAGGAUGGUAGAAUUCCAGGUGUAGCGGUGAAAUGCGUAGAGAUCUGGAGGAAUACCGAUGGCGAAGGCAGCCAUCUGGCCUAACACUGACGCUGAGGUGCGAAAGCAUGGGGAGCAAACAGGAUGAGAUCCCCAAUACCCUGU
rnacentral:rRNA from 1 species